rnacentral:rRNA from 1 species
GACGAACGCUGGCGGCGUGCUUAACACAUGCAAGUCGAACGGUAAGGCCCUUCGGGGUACACGAGUGGCGAACGGGUGAGUAACACGUGGGUGAUCUGCCCUGCACUUCGGGAUAAGCCUGGGAAACUGGGUCUAAUACCGGAUAGGACCCUGGGAUGCAUGUCCUGGGGUGGAAAGCUUUUGCGGUGUGGGAUGGGCCCGCGGCCUAUCAGCUUGUUGGUGGGGUGAUGGCCUACCAAGGCGACGACGGGUAGCCGGCCUGGGAGGGUGACCGGCCACACUGGGACUGGGAUACGGCCCAGACUCCUACGGGAGGCAGCAGUGGGGAAUAUUGCACAAUGGGCGCAAGCCGGAUGCAGCGACGCCGCGUGAGGGAUGACGGCCUUCGGGUUGUAAACCUCUUUCAGCACCGACGAAGCGCAAGUGACGGUAGGUGCAGAAGAAGGACCGGCCAACUACGUGCCAGCCGCCGCAGUAA